CGAAGGGUGCAAGCGUUACUCGGAAUUACUGGGCGUAAAGCGUGCGUAGGUGGUUUGUUAAGUCUGUUGUGAAAGCCCCGGGCUCAACCUGGGAAUGGCAAUGGAUACUGGCAGGCUAGAGUGCGGUAGAGGGUAGUGGAAUUCCCGGUGUAGCGGUGAAAUGCGUAGAGAUCGGGAGGAACACCAGUGGCGAAGGCGGCUACCUGGACCAGCACUGACACUGAGGCACGAAAGCGUGGGGAGCAAACAGG
rnacentral:rRNA from 1 species